UACAGAGGGGGCAAGCGUUGUUCGGAAUUACUGGGCGUAAAGGGCGCGUAGGCGGCCUGCUAAGUCGAACGUGAAAUCCCCGGGCUCAACCUGGGAAUUGCAUUCGAUACUGGAUAGCUAGAGUUCGGCAGAGGGAAGCGGAAUUUCGGGUGUAGCGGUGAAAUGCGUAGAUAUCAGGAGGAACACCGAUGGCGAAGGCAGGUCUCUGGGCCACUACUGACGCUGAGAAGCGAAAGCAUGGGGAGCGAACAGG
rnacentral:rRNA from 1 species